UUUAGGUUCCUAGAUGAUAAAGGCUACGGUUAAGGUGCAUGUUAUUUUUGGUCAUACUGAUGUGUGAGAGCUUGCCUUCUCCGAGCACUAUUCAUGGAAAGUAUUUUUAUUUAUUGAUAGUUCAAUUAAGCAACACAAAGCUCAGAUGGAGGCAAAUUCUCUAAUUUAAAGGCACGGUAUAGGUUAUUGAAAAGGUUAUGAAUGUCAAAAAAUAUUUUUAUUUAAAUAUUAAAUAUUGUAGUUGUGUCUUCAAUAGUCCCUCUUCUAGAUUAACUGAAGAGAAGUUCUUUCACAGAGAUCUAUAUGAUCCUUUGUCAUUCUCUAUAGUUUUGGAAACUAAUAAUGAUCAGGACCAUCUCCAAUUUUAAAUUCUUAUUAUGAAAUUAAUGUUGCAGUAAAAUAUAUGAAUUUUUUGUCACAAAACCAAUUAUUCCCUUUAUAAUUUUCGAAGAAAAGAGAUGAGAAUGACAUCCUAUGGCCUUCUCUCUUUUUGGUCAGAGGAUGGUCCAAAAUGACCCGAAGCAAGCCAAACCAAGUGGUUUCGCUCGCUUCAAAGCAAUUCAGGCUAAUUCAAACCAGUUACUGAACUAGGAGUUUAAAUCGAUCCGAGUCUGUACUAGUUCAGUUCAA
rnacentral:lncRNA from 1 species